CCUACGGGUGGCAGCAGUGAGGAAUAUUGGUCAAUGGGCGAGAGCCUGAACCAGCCAAGUCGCGUGAGGGAGUACUGCCCUAUGGGUUGUAAACCUCUUUUGUCGGGGAGCAAAAGCCGGACGUGUCCGGCUGUGAGAGUACCCGAAGAAAAAGCAUCGGCUAACUCCGUGCCAGCAGCCGCGGUAAUACGGAGGAUGCGAGCGUUAUCCGGAUUUAUUGGGUUUAAAGGGUGCGCAGGCGGAUUUUUAAGUCAGCGGUAAAAUCGUGGGGCUCAACCCCAUCCAGCCGUUGAAACUGGGGAUCUAGAGUGUGCGAGAGGUAUGCGGAAUGCGUGGGGUAGCGGUGAAAUGCAUAGAUAUCACGCAGAACCCCGAUUGCGAAGGCAGCAUACCGGUGCACAACUGACGCUCAGGCACGAAAGCGUGGGUAUCGAACAGGAUUAGAUACCCCAGUAGUC
rnacentral:rRNA from 1 species